rnacentral:rRNA from 1 species
UGAGUAACACGUGAGUGACCUGCCUUUUAGACUGGAACAACUUACCGAAAGGUGAGCUAAUGUCGGAUGAGUUAUAUAAGUGCAUGUUUAUAUAGGAAAAGUUGGGGAGACCUGACGCUGAAAGAUGGACUCGCGUCCCAUUAGCUAGUUGGUAGGGUAAUGGCCUACCAAGGCGACGAUGGGUAGCCGGCCUGAGAGGGUGGCCGGCCACACUGGGACUGAGACACGGCCCAGACUCCUACGGAAGGCAGCAG